rnacentral:rRNA from 1 species
AGUGAACGCUGGCGGUAGGCCUAACACAUGCAAGUCGAACGGCAGCACAGUAAGAGCUUGCUCUUACGGGUGGCGAGUGGCGGACGGGUGAGGAAUACAUCGGAAUCUACUUUUUCGUGGGGGAUAACGUAGGGAAACUUACGCUAAUACCGCAUACGACCUACGGGUGAAAGCAGGGGAUCUUCGGACCUUGCGCGAUUGAAUGAGCCGAUGUCGGAUUAGCUAGUUGGCGGGGUAAAGGCCCACCAAGGCGACGAUCCGUAGCUGGUCUGAGAGGAUGGUCAGCCACACGGGAACUGAGACAGGGUCCAGACUCCUGCGGGAGGCAGCAGUGGGGAAUAUUAGGCAAUGGGGGCAAGCCUGAUCCAGCCAUACCGCGUGGGAGGAGAAGGCCUUCGGGUUGUGAAGCCGUUUUUUUGGGAGAGAAAAGCAGCAGGUUAAUACCCCGCGGUUCUGACGGUACCCAAAGAAUAAGCACCGGCUAACUUCGUG